rnacentral:rRNA from 1 species
UACGAAGGGGGCUAGCGUUGCUCGGAAUUACUGGGCGUAAAGCGCACGUAGGCGGUUGGUUAAGUUGGAUGUGAAAGCCCCGGGCUCAACCUGGGAAUUGCAUUCAAAACUGGCCAACUAGAAUACGGGAGAGGGGGGUAGAAUUCCAAGUGUAGCGGUGAAAUGCGUAGAGAUUUGGAGGAAUACCAGUGGCGAAGGCGGCCCCCUGGCCCGAUAUUGACGCUGAGGUGCGAAAGCGUGGGGAGCAAAUAGG